rnacentral:rRNA from 1 species
GUUCUUUAGAUUAUAUUUUAAGAUUUGGCCUGCCCUAUGAUUUAUUAAAUGGCUGCGGUAUUUUAACCGUACAAAGGUAGCAUAAUCAUUUGUCUUUUAAUUGAAGGCUGGAAUGAAUGGUUUGAUGAAAAAUUAGCUUUCUUAAAUUAAUUUAAUGAAUUUAAUUUUUUAGUGAAAAAGCUUAAAUUUUUUUAUGGGACGAUAAGACCCUAUAGAGGUUUAUUAAAUAUUUAAUUUAAUUAAUUUUGAUUUUUAUUUAGUUAAAUAAUUUAUUUAAUUUUGUUGGGGUGACAUAUAAAAUUAAUGAACUUUAUAAUUUAUAUUUCAAAUAUAUUUGUUUAAUUGAUCCAAUUUUAUUGAUUAUUAGAUUAACCUACCUUAGGGAUAACAGCGUAAUUAAUUUGGAGAGUUCAUAUUGAUAAAUUAGUUUGCGA